ACCAGUGUGGCAUAGUGGUUUGAGCAUUGGACUAUGACUCUGGAGACAAGGGUUCGAAUCCCAGCUUGGCC